CGAAUGAGGAGAUUCAUCGUCAGCUUAUUCAGUAUUAAUGCAGGCUAUGAUGUGAUAAUAGAACCCUUGUGGUCACUAGAUUAUACUUGCUUGUAUUAUUUUUGCUGGGUAUGUCGGCGUGCACUUCUCCUCUAGUAGAACGUCGCAACCCGUUGGAUGUUUAUCUAUGGCUUGAAUGGUAGCCUUUGAUAUUUUUUAUAUUGAAGACCUUCGAUGCCCUGAUAAACUGUUUGACGGUAUACAUAUGGUAUUGACCCGCAAUUAUUUGCGUUAGACUUGCCGCAAGUAUGACUUUAUUCUAGUAGUGCGGAUCUAAUGCCGUCGCUGGACAAAGUCUGCUGUUAGCUGUGU
rnacentral:rRNA from 1 species